GGGCCACAGAAAAGCUUGAUUCCAGGAUACGAGCACGUAAGCUUUCUCCCGCAAGGAAUCCAUGAAAUUGUGGAGCCUUCGUCGAACAGUCGCGUCGGCAAAACUUCGAUCACCGCAUCGGCGUAUUGCUUCUGUGGAUCUGGCGCCGGCAACAAUGAAAGAAUCAAUCGCAUUCAGAUUCUGAGGAAAGAUUUAGAACACAAAGAUUAGAGGAGGCUAAAUAUGGGAUCAAAAAACAGAAAACAGUCUGAAAAGUAAGGGGAAAUCUGGGAUGCUGGUGAAGGCUAAUCUAUCAGCUCACUUAGAAAUUUCUUCAAGUACCCCUGAUUUCUUGGUAAAAUCUUGACAGUGGACGGUGGUAAAAUUGUAAUUUCCUAGUUAUUUUUUCCUUUGAAGAGUUGAAAUGUAUGCUUUCUUAUGAAAGAUAGAGUUCUUGAUGAGGUGAUGGGAAACAGUAAUGGGAGAAACUUAUGUGGUGGAUCUCUUUCAGUUUGGAUAUUUGGGAUGCCACGUGGAAAUAAAUGGUUGGACAGUUAUAGAUGAGGAGUGAGAGGUGUGGAAUUGAGAAGAGGUGAAAACUCUGAAAUCCAAUUAAUUGGAUCCUAGGGUCUUCAAAAUUGUACACUUUCUCAAUGCUCUGCAUAUUUUGAACCAUAAAUUCAAUAAAAAAGCGAAUGAAAAUAUUCAUAUAAAUAUAUUCGUGAUUAGAUUGUUAUUUAAUUUUAAGAAAAAUUUUACAUCUUAAUUUGAUUAAUCGUAACUUCGCCAAUAGUAGAAUGGUGAAUGGAGUAGCAUAUGCCAAAGAUACCACUUGAUAUUAGCAAACCGAGAGCAUUUUCUCAAGGAAAACUUUCUCAUUAUUAUUUUCUUUUCUGAGGUCAUUUAGAAUAAAAUUUUGAUUUUCGACACAAAUUUUGACACCCAAAGAACCUGCCUUUUCAAAAUUUCCUUUUUCAGAAUUUUCGUCAAUUUGAAUAUAACACAAAAUUUUCAGAAUUUUUUUCAAUUUGAGCAUUUAACACAACUAAACAAAGAACGUAAUCAUGCUACCUAUCUUCUCUCCCCCUUAUAGAUAGAAGGAACAGGAUUUAGUUUCAUUUUCAAGAUUCAAGCCUCAAAACUCAAAAAAGACUGAUUCUAUAUACCAUUAAACACUCAUUAAACACUAAUUUGUAUUUCGAUCUAGGUGCAAUAGUUGUUGCAAGUCAAACAAAUUUUAAAUCUCUAAGCACUCUAGUUAGCAUCUUCUUUAUCCAUACGACAACACAAAAAGAUCUCUUUUUUUGCAUCUCUCUUCUACUUGUCGAAAAGUUAAUGGUGAUCAAAGAAAUAACACUCAAAUAUUUUUCAGAAAAAAAAAAAAGGAAAAACGACUAAGAGAAUGUUAAUAAUUGGGGUGGGGGAGGGGACAAAAAUAUGCAUGAGACAGAAGAGAGAGUUUAGGAAGGGAGAAAAUGGUACACCCCAACUCCACUGCACCUCACCGCACCAGAUAGAUGCUUCUAAGUUCUAAGCUAUAUAUCUGUAGCUCAAAAA